GAUGAACGCUAGCGGCAGGCCUAACACAUGCAAGUCGAGGGGCAGCACAUAAAGUGGUUUACUACUUUUGGUGGCGACCGGCGGACGGGUGCGUAACGCGUAUGCAACCUGCCUCCAACAGGGGGAUAACGGAGAGAAAUUUCCACUAAUACCCCAUAAUAUCAGAAUCGGCAUCGGUUUUGGUUGAAAACUCCGGUGGUUGGAGAUGGGCAUGCGUUGUAUUAGAUAGUUGGUGAGGUAACGGCUCACCAAGUCAACGAUACAUAGGGGGACUGGGCGGUUAGCCCCCCACACUAGUACUGAGACACGGACCAGACUCCUACGGGGGGCAGCAGUGAGGAAUAUUGGUCAAUGGGGGCAACCCUGAACCAGCCAUGCCGCGUGCAGGAAGACGGCUCUAUGAGUUGUAAACUGCUUUUACAAGGGGAUAAAUCGGUGUACGUGUACACCGUUGAAGGUACCUUGGGAAUAAGGAUCGGCUAACUCCGUGCCAGCCGCCGCCGUAA
rnacentral:rRNA from 1 species